rnacentral:rRNA from 1 species
ACCUUUUUGCAUAAUGAGUCAGCGAGUUGCUUGUUGUAGCAAGGUUAAGCCGAGAGGUGUAGCCGUAGGGAAACCGAGUCUGACAAGGGGCGAUUCAGUUACAGCGAGCAGACCCGAAGCCAAGUGAUCUAUCCAUGGACAGGCUGAAGCGUGGGUAAAACCGCGUGGAGGGCCGAACCCACUGAAGUUGAAAAUUCAGGGGGAUGAGCUGUGGAUGGGGGUGAAAGGCCAAUCAAACUUGGGAAUAGCUGGUUCUCCCCGAAAGGCAUUUACGUGCCGCCUCGGGUAGCACCGUCGAGGGUAGAGCACUGAAUGGGCUAGGGGGGCUUUCCAGCCUACCAAACCCAAUCAAACUCCGAAUCUCGAUGAGUGACGCACGGGAGUGAGACAGCGGGGGAUAAGCUUCGUUGUCGAGAGGGAAGAGCCCAGACCGCCAGCUAAGGUCUCAAGUACACGCUAAGUGGUCGAGGAUGUGGGGUAACCUAGACAACCAGGAGGUUGGCUUAG